GACAGAGGUGCCAAGCGUUAGGCGGAAUCACUGGGCUUAAAGCGUGUGUAGGCGGAUGCCUAAGUACCUUGUGAAAUCCCACGGCUCAACCGUGGAACUGCUGGGUAUACUGGGUGUCUUGGGUCAUCUAGGGGCUGCCGGAACAAAUGGUGGAGCGGUGAAAUGCGUAGAUAUCGUCAGGAAUGCCGGUGGUGAAGACGGGUGACUGGGCUGGUUCUGACACUGAGGCACGAAAGCUAGGGGAGCGAACAGG
rnacentral:rRNA from 1 species